GCGGGGCUUCGGCUCCUCCCCGUCGCCGCCGCUGCCGGCCCCAUAACGAGACCUAAAGGGCAAGGAAAUAAAGGUGGGGAAACAUGAUGCACAGAUCUGUUGACUUUCCUAACUUGAUGUAGUCAGGACCAGAGCAAAGAAUCACCUGGCUCCUAAGGCCCAUGUUCUAUCUUGAUUUGACUCUGUUUCAUAGAGCAGAGGAAACAGGCGAAGAAUCAUUUUCAGUACAAAACGGUUCGAUUCAUCAAAAAGAUGCUGUAAAUGAUGAUGAUUUUGAGCCAUACUUAAGUAGCCAGACAAAUCAGAGUAACAGCUAUCCACCAAUGUCAGAUCCAUACAUGCCUAGUUACUAUGCUCCAUCCAUUGGAUUUCCAUAUUCUCUUGGGGAAGCAGCGUGGUCCACAGCUGGAGACCAGCCUA
rnacentral:lncRNA from 10 species